rnacentral:rRNA from 1 species
AGUAACGCGUGAGUAACCUGCCUUUCAGAGGGGGAGUAACGUUCUGAAAAGAAACGCUAAUACCGCAUGAGACUACAGAGCUGCAUGGCUCAGUGGUCAAAGGAGCAAUCCGCUGAAAGAUGGACUCGCGUCCGAUUAGUUAGUUGGUGAGGUAACGGCUCACCAAGACCGCGAUCGGUAGCCGGACUGAGAGGUUGAACGGCCACAUUGGGACUGAGACACGGCCCAGACUCCUACGGGAGGCAGCAUG